rnacentral:miRNA from 1 species
UUCUAUUGGGUUGAGCAAAAAGUUUGUUCAGAUUUUUCAGUACAAUGUUAUAGAAAACCUUAAAGAACUUUUUGGCCCACCCAAUAUUU